rnacentral:rRNA from 1 species
UGGGGAAUAUUGCACAAUGGGCGCAAGCCUGAUGCAGCCAUGCCGCGUGUAUGAAGAAGGCCUUCGGGUUGUAAAGUACUUUCAGCGGGGAGGAAGGGAGUAAAGUUAAUACCUUUGCUCAUUGACGUUACCCGCAGAAGAAGCACCGGCUAACUCCGUGCCAGCAGCCGCGGUAAUACGGAGGGUGCAAGCGUUAAUCGGAAUUACUGGGCGUAAAGCGCACGCAGGCGGUUUGUUAAGUCAGAUGUGAAAUCCCCGGGCUCAACCUGGGAACUGCCUCUGAUACUGGCAAGCUUGAGUCUCGUAGAGGGGGGUAGAAUUCCAGGUGUAGCGGUGAAAUGCGUAGAGAUCUGGGGGAAUACCGGUGGCGAAGGCGGCCCCCUGGACGAAGACUGACGCUCAGGUGCGAAAGCGUGGGGAGCAAACAGG